AACUUUCGACAACGGAUCACUUGGCUCUCGCAUCGAUGAAGAACGCAGCGAAAUGCGAUAAGUAAUGUGAAUUGCAUAAUUCAGUGAAUCAUCGAAUCUUUGAACGCACCUUGCGCCCUUUGGCUAUUCCGAAGGGCAUGCCUGUUUGAGUAUCAUGAACACCUCAACUCUCAUGGCUUGCCAUGAUGAGCUUGGACUCUGGUGGACUAGCUGGCACAUGCUCAGAUACUCUUCAAUGAAUCAGUCAUUCAGUGUGUGAACACAGCACAGAUGUGAUACCUAUCUACUCUUGUGAUGUCCUCCUAGGUAACCUUCAGUGAUGGAGGUCGCAUGAUGUAGUAAAAUAUCAUCCCUCAUUCUAGACAUGGCUUUUUAGAUAUUUUAACUCAAAAAAGGUAUGACUACCCGCUGAACUUAAGCAUAUCAAUAAGCGGAGGCU
rnacentral:misc_RNA from 1 species